rnacentral:rRNA from 1 species
UACAGAGGUCUCAAGCGUUGUUCGGAUUCAUUGGGCGUAAAGGGUGCGUAGGUGGCGGGGUAAGUCAGGUGUGAAAUUUCGGAGCUUAACUCCGAAACUGCAUUUGAUACUGCCUUGCUUGAGGACUGGAAAGGAGACUGGAAUUCACGGUGUAGCAGUGAAAUGCGUAGAGAUCGUGAGGAAGACCAGUGGCGAAGGCGGGUCUCUGGACAGUUCCUGACACUGAGGCACGAAGGCCAGGGGAGCAAACGGG